rnacentral:rRNA from 1 species
ACUCCUGCGGGAGGCAGCAGUAGGGAAUCUUCCACAAUGGGUGCAAACCUGAUGGAGCAAUGCCGCGUGAGUGAAGAAGGUCUUCGGAUCGUAAAGCUCUGUUGUUAGAGAAGAACACGUGCUAGGUAACUACUAGCGCCUUGACGGUAUCUAACCAGAAAGUCACGGCUAACUACGUGCCAGCAGCCGCGGUAAUACGUAGGUGACAAGCGUUGUCCGGAUUUAUUGGGCGUAAAGGGAGCGCAGGCGGUCUGUUUAGUCUAAUGUGAAAGCCCACGGCUUAACCGUGGAACGGCAUUGGAAACUGACAGACUUGAAUGUAGAAGAGGAAAAUGGAAUUCCAAGUGUAGCGGUGGAAUGCGUAGAUAUUUGGAGGAACACCAGUGGCGAAGGCGAUUUUCUGGUCUAACAUUGACGCUGAGGCUCGAAAGCGUGGGGAGCGAACAGGAUUAGAAACCCCGGUAGUCCC